CGCCUUCCCGUUCACGGAUCAGACCCAGCAGGCUAUAAAUAAUUCUUCAGGACUUGCAAUAAUUUCUGAAAUAACUGACAGCGAGAGUCUCUCCCAAGCCGUCUGGAUAACUGAGAACUCGGG